rnacentral:rRNA from 1 species
UACAGAGGGUGCGAGCGUUGUUCGGAAUUACUGGGCGUAAAGCGCGCGCAGGCGGCCUUUUAAGUCUGACGGUGAAAUGCCGGGGCUCAACCCCGUGCCCGCCGGAGAUACUGGGAGGCUGGAGACGAGUAGAGGCAAGCGGAAUUCCGGGUGUAGCGGUGGAAUGCGUAGAGAUCCGGAAGAACACCGGUGGCGAAGGCGGCCUGCUGGGCAGUAGCUGACACUGAGGCGCGACAGCGUGGGGAGCAAACAGG